UACGUAGGUGGCAAGCGUUGUCCGGAUUUAUUGGGUUUAAAGGGUGCGUAGGCGGCUUUGUAAGUCAGUGGUGAAAUAUGGCAGCUCAACUGUCAAGGUGCCAUUGAUACUGCGAGGCUUGAGUACAGAUGAGGUAGGCGGAAUUGACGGUGUAGCGGUGAAAUGCUUAGAUAUCGUCAAGAACACCAAUAGUGAAGACAGUUUACUAGACUUCAACUGACGCUGAGGCACGAAAGUGUGGGGAUCAAACAGG
rnacentral:rRNA from 1 species